rnacentral:rRNA from 1 species
CGCGUGAGUGAAGAAGGCUUCGGGUUGUAAAGCUCUUUCAGCCGGGAAGAAAACGCACGCUCUAACAUAGCGUGUGGAUGACGGUACCGGACCAAGAAGCACCGGCUAACUACGUGCCAGCAGCCGCGGUAAUACGUAGGGUGCGAGCGUUAAUCGGAAUUACUGGGCGUAAAGCGUGCGCAGGCGGUUUUGUAAGACAGAUGUGAAAUCCCCGGGCUUAACCUGGGAACUGCGUUUGUGACUGCAAGGCUAGAGUACGGCAGAGGGGGGUGGAAUUCCGCGUGUAGCAGUGAAAUGCGUAGAGAUGCGGAGGAACACCGAUGGCGAAGCAACCCCCUGGGCCUGUACUGACGCUCAUGCACGAAAGCCGUGGGGAGCAAACAGGAUUAGAUACCUGGUAGUCCACGCCUAAACGAUGUCGACUAUCGNUCGGACAGCAAUGCACUGA